UAUUGGACAAUGGGGGGAAACCUGAUCCAGCGACGCCGCGUGAGUGAAGAAGUAUUUCGGUAUGUAAAGCUCUAUCAGCAGGGAAGAAAGAAAUGACGGUACCUGACUAAGAAGCCCCGGCUAACUACGUGCCAGCAGCCGCGGUAAGUCGUAGGGGGCAAGCGUUAUCCGGAUUUACUGGGUGUAAAGGGAGCGUACACGGCGAUGCAAGUCUGAAGUGAAAGGCGGGGGCCCAACCCCCUGACUGCUUUGGAAACUGUAUGGCUGGAGUGCAGGAGAGGUAAGUGGAAUUCCUAGUGUAGCGGUGAAAUGCGUAGAUAUUAGGAGGAACACCAGUGGCGAAGGCGGCUUACUUGACUGUAACUGACGUUGAGGCUCGAAAUCGUGGGGAGCAAACAGG
rnacentral:rRNA from 1 species